GCCGAUGUAGCUCAGCUGGUAGAGCGGCGCUUUCGUAAAGCGUAGGUCAGCGGUUCAAACCCGCUCAUCGGCUCCA
rnacentral:tRNA from 1 species